GAUGAACGCUGGCGGCGUGCCCAAUACAUGCAAGUCGAGCGAAUGGAUUAAGAGCUUGCUCUUAUGAAGUUAGCGGCGGACGGGUGAGUAACACGUGGGUAACCUGCCCAUAAGACUGGGAUAACUCCGGGAAACGGGGGCUAAUACCGGAAAACAUUUUGAACCGCAUGGUAUGAAAUUGAAAGGCGGCUUUGACUGUCACUUAGGGCUGGACCCGAGUCGCAUUAGCUAGUUGGUGAGGUAACGGCUCACCAAGGCAACGAUGCGUAGCCGACCUGAGAGGGUGAUCGGCCACACUGGGACUGAGACACGGCCCAGACUCCUACGGGAGGCAGCAGUAGGGAAUCUUCCGCAAUGGACGAAAGUCUGACGGAGCAACGCCGCGUGAGUGAUGAAGGCUUUCGGGUCGUAAAACUCUGUUGUUAGGGAAGAACAAGUGCUAGUUGAAUAAGCUGGCACCUUGACGGUACCUAACCAGAAAGCCACGGCUAACUACGUGCCAGCCGCCGCGGUAA
rnacentral:rRNA from 1 species